GACGAACGCUGGCGGCGUGCCUAACACAUGCAAGUCGAGCGAAGAACUUCGGUUCUUAGCGGCGGACGGGUGAGUAACACGUGGGUAACCUGCCUCAAAGAGGGGGAUAGCCUCCCGAAAGGGAGAUUAAUACCGCAUAAUAUCAGGAUCUCGCAUGGGAACUUGAUUAAAGGAGCAAUCCGCUUUGAGAUGGACCCGCGGCGCAUUAGCUAGUUGGUGAGGUAACGGCUCACCAAGGCGACGAUGCGUAGCCGACCUGAGAGGGUGAUCGGCCACAUUGGAACUGAGACACGGUCCAGACUCCUACGGGAGGCAGCAGUGGGGAAUAUUGCACAAUGGGCGAAAGCCUGAUGCAGCAACGCCGCGUGAGUGAUGAAGGCCUUCGGGUUGUAAAACUCUGUCUUUGGGGACGAUAAUGACGGUACCCAAGGAGGAAGCCACGGCUAACUACGUGCCAGCCGCCGCCGUAACAC
rnacentral:rRNA from 1 species